rnacentral:rRNA from 1 species
GAAAGCAUGCCUGCUUUGGUGUCUAUU